rnacentral:tRNA from 1 species
AGGAGCGUAGCUCAAUUGGUAGAGCGUCGGUCUCCAAAACCGAAGGUUGCAGGUUCGAUUCCUGUCGCUCCUGCCA